rnacentral:rRNA from 1 species
GAUGAACGCUGGCGGCGUGCUUAACACAUGCAAGUCGAACGAAGCACUUUAUUUGAUUUCCUUCGGGACUGAUUAUUUUGUGACUGAGUGGCGGACGGGUGAGUAACGCGUGGGUAACCUGCCUUGUACAGGGGGAUAACAGUUGGAAACGGCUGCUAAUACCGCAUAAGCGCACGGCAUCGCAUGAUGCAGUGUGAAAAACUCCGGUGGUAUAAGAUGGACCCGCGUUGGAUUAGCUAGUUGGUGAGGUAACGGCCCACCAAGGCGACGAUCCAUAGCCGACCUGAGAGGGUGACCGGCCACAUUGGGACUGAGACACGGCCCAAACUCCUACGGGAGGCAGCAGUGGGGAAUAUUGCACAAUGGGCGAAAGCCUGAUGCAGCGACGCCGCGUGAGCGAAGAAGUAUUUCGGUAUGUAAAGCUCUAUCAGCAGGGAAGAUAAUGACGGUAUCUGACGAAGAAGCACCGGCUAAAUACGUG